AGACGAUACGUGUGAGAUAAUCAGAUCAGUAAAACAUUAAACGAGUAACAACUUUAAUUUCGAAAAAUAUCAUUUUUUUCAGUGAUAUAAGUAUAUAAGACAACAUGAAGAUUAAACCUAUUACUUAUUUUGUAAAAUAUUUUACCCAUCGCAAUUAUUAUUUGCGUUCGCUGCUGCCUGAUGUGAUUAAAGAAAUUUGGAAGAGAUUAGUAGAUUCUCGCAAUAUGUUAUCUUCGGUCCGCACGUAACAAGUACAAGGAUACCUGCAAGGCUUCGAAUUGUCAUAACAAGGAAUCAAAAUCAUAUAAGUAUAAGGGAGUCUAGAAAGCAACAAUGGCAGGUGUACCAGUGCCACAGAAACCUGAGCACCUUCACAACACUCGGCCACUUUUUGUAUUAGUUACAUGAACUUUAUUUAUACUAAUAACUAAUAAACACAUUAUUGUUCUUAAAAGUUGUAAUUUUCAUUUAAAAUAAACACCCUGGACUUAUAAAAAAAUCUGAUAUUGGCACGCAGCAAUUAAAUUUCUGACGUACAUGGACAAUUUGGGUAAAGAAAUUCUAGAGGCAUGGAAUAAUAAUGAAUAAAAAGUGAAAGCAUUGAAAAUAGUCAUAUCUAUUUAACUUAUUUGAAGAUUCAGUAUUCAAGAUACUCCACUCUAAAUAAGAAACAAUUAAUAGUUGAGUAAUCACUAAUCAAUCUUCUGGAUAAAUUUACUACUAACAUGGUAUCAGAUGCAACAAAUGAAACUUUAAAAAUUCAGUUUUUUGAAAUUGGAUCCAUCCUGAUGUUUAUAGAUUCAAAGCAGCUAAAAAAUUUUACUCUAUUAAAACUUAUACAAAUCUAUAGUAUUGAUUUUAAAAUAUACAGAUAAAUCAUGCUUUAAAUAAUAGUGAUGACUGAUUCUGUAUUGUCAUCUAUCGUAUAACACUGUUGUUAUUAUUGUGAGCUCAGUAGGAAACUAACUUGCUGUAGUAAUAACAUAUUCAAAUAAUAUUUUCUUAUAAAUUUUCCGGGACAGUCAUAUAAGACAAUAAUGUCUACAAAAUUUAAUUCAGGUGACAAUUGUGUAUGGUUAUUGAUAGACUAUACAUUAAUAGAAUAACAUUUUAAAUACAAAAUAUUAUUUCCAACCAUUUCUAUUAUUUUUUAUUUGAAACUUAUACUGUGUUUGACAAUAAAUGUCUAUAUUUUAAUUAUUUUAAAACUACAGCCAAGCAUGUUCCAAUUUCCCAAAGACAGAAUAAUAUUUAAAAUCUGGUUAUUAAACUUACUAGUUACUAUUC